UGCAUCGGCCGGGAAUCGAACCUGGGGCGCCCGCGUGGCAGGCGAGCAUUCUACCACUGAACCACCGAUGU
rnacentral:tRNA from 1 species